rnacentral:tRNA from 1 species
UGGGUUGUAGUUAAGUGGUAAAGCACUUGCCUAGCAUGCCCAAGAUCCUGAGUUCUAUUCCCAGCACCACAA